rnacentral:rRNA from 1 species
GACGAACGCUGGCGGCGUGCUUAACACAUGCAAGUCGAACGGAAAGGCCCCUUUGGGGGUACUCGAGUGGCGAACGGGUGAGUAACACGUGAGUAACCUGCCCUUGACUUCGGGAUAACUUCAGGAAACUGGGGCUAAUACCGGAUAGGAAUCCUUGCUGCAUGGUGGGGGUUGGAAAGCUUCGGCGGGUUUGGAUGGACUCGCGGCUUAUCAGCUUGUUGGUGGGGUAGUGGCUUACCAAGGCUUUGACGGGUAGCCGGCCUGAGAGGGCGACCGGCCACAUUGGGACUGAGAUACGGCCCAGACGCCUACGGGAGGCAGCAGGGGGGAAUAUUGCACAAUGGGCGGAAGCCUGAUGCAGCAACGCCGCGGGCGGGAGGACGGCCUUCGGGUUGUAAACCGCUUUCAGCAGGGGCGGAGCUUGUGGUGACGGUACCUGCAGAAGAAGCACCGGCUAACUACGUG